rnacentral:rRNA from 1 species
AGAAUGAACGCUGGCGGCAGGCCUAAAACAUGCAAGUCGAACGCUCUAGCAAUAGAGAGUGGCGCACGGGUGCGUAACAUGUGGGAAUAUGCCUUUUGGUACGGAACAACGUUUGGAAACGAACGCUAAUACCGUAUGGUCCCUUCGGGGUAAAGAUUUAUCGCCAAAAGAUUAGCCCGCACUGGAUUAGCUAGUUGGUGAGGUAAUGGCUCACCAAGGCGACGAUCCAUAGCUGGUCUGAGAGGACGAUCAGCCACACUGGGACUGAGACACGGCCCAGACUCCUACGGGAGGCAGCAGUUAGGAAUAUUGGACAAUGGGCGUAAGCCUGAUCCAGCCAUGCCGCGUGAGUGAUGAAGGCCUUCGGGUUGUAAAGCUCUUUAGCCGAUGAUUAUAAUGACUGUAGUCGGAAAUAAGCCCGGCUAACUUCGCGCCAGCAGCCGC